AACCUUAUGGACCUGCGGGCGUAUACCUGCGGAAGGAUCAUUACAUUCAGUAGCCUAGCUACUUGUUUACACCCUUGUUUUUUUGCGCACUUCACUGUAUCCCUCGGCGGGCUUGCUCGCCGGUUGGACAACAUUUAUAACCUUUUUUAAUCUUCAAUCAGCGUCUGAAUUAUAUUUAAUAAUUACAACUUUCAACAAUGGAUCU
rnacentral:misc_RNA from 1 species